CACUCGGGGGGACAAACAGGUAUAUGUUGAUCAUUACAGUCGGGGAGACAAACAGGUAUAUGUUGAUCAUUACAGUCGGGGAGACAAACAGGUAUAUGUUGAUCAUUACAGUCGGGGAGACAAACAGGUAUAUGUUGAUCAUUACAGUCGGGGAGACAAACAGGUAUAUGUUGAUCAUUACAGUCGGGGAGACAAACAGGUAUAUGUUGAUCAUUACAGUCUGGGAGACAAACAGGUAUAUGUUGAUCAUUACAGUCAGUGGGAUUCACGGGUAUAUGUUGAUCAUUACAGUCGGGAAGACAAACAGGUAUAUGUUGAUCAUUACA